rnacentral:rRNA from 1 species
CCUACGGGAGGCAGCAGUCGAGAAUCAUUCACAAUGGGGGAAACCCUGAUGGGGCGACGCCGCGUGGGGGAAUGAAGGUCUGCGGAUUGUAAACCCCUGUCAGGUGGGAGAAAAUUAAAAAGAUAGGACCACAAGAGGAAGAGACGGCUAACUCGGUGCCAGCAGCCGCGGUAAUACAGAGGGCUCAAGCGUUGUUCGGAAUCACUGGGCGUAAAGCGUGCGUAGGCUGUUUCGUAAGUCGUGUGUGAACGGCGCGGGCUCAACCCGCGGACGGCACAUGAUACUGCGAGACUAGAGUACUGGAGGGGUAACCGGAUUUCUCGGUGUCGCCGUGAACUGCUUAGAUCUCGCG